UACGGAAGGUGCGAGCGUUAAUCGGAAUUACUGGGCGUAAAGCGCACGUAGGCGGUUACUUAAGUCGGAUGUGAAAGCCCUGGGCUUAACCUGGGAAUUGCAUCCGAUACUGGCUGGCUAGAGUGCGGUAGAGGGAAGUGGAACUCCAGGUGUAGCGGUGAAAUGCGUAGAUAUCUGGGGGAACAUCAGUGGCGAAGGCGGCUUCCUGGACCAACACUGACGCUGAGGCGCGAAAGCGUGGGGAGCAAACAGGAUUAGAAACCCGAGUAGU
rnacentral:rRNA from 1 species